GGGCUCGUGGUUUAGUGGUUAUAACGCCGCCCUUACACGGCGGAUGUCUCCAGUUCGAAACUAGCAGCAAACACCA
rnacentral:tRNA from 4 species